rnacentral:rRNA from 1 species
CACGUAGGCACCAAGCGUUAUCCGGAUUUAUUGGGCGUAAAGAGCUCGUAGGCGGUUCGGUAAGUCGGGUGUGAAAACUCUGGGCUCAACCCAGAGAGGCCACCCGAUACUGCUGUGACUAGAGUGCGGUAGGGGAGCGGGGAAUUCCUGGUGUAGCGGUGGAAUGCGCAGAUAUCAGGAGGAACACCGAUGGCGAAGGCAGGUCUCUGGGCCAUUACUGACACUGAGAAGCGAAAGCAUGGGGAGCGAACAGG